rnacentral:lncRNA from 1 species
GUAUAAGGUUGCUUCAGUUUGACAGAGUUUUCACCCAGGGCCAGGUUUGUUUUGCAGGAGUUUUUUAAAACCAGUUGAACUGAUUCGGAAAAACUCGUCCCAUCAUAGCCCUUAUGAAACCUUUUACAACUAAUUAAUCACUGUCAUACCUUAUAGUGUCCAGAGUUUUCUUGGUUAGGUUAACAGAUAAGGAAAAACUCUGGGACCUAUGGUGCCACCAGUCUGCUUGCAGUUGUCGGUUAUCGUCAGCUAAAUCCCCUCCUGUUCCCUGAUUAAGAGAUGAUAACCACUCCACUCCACUAGCAUUGUCAACUCUCUCCUGAUAUCAAGUUUCAGUCAAAUCCUGUCCUGCACUGAAGUCAAGCCUCUGAACACCUAAUUUCAUGCCAUCAUACCAUCAUUCAAUCACUGUUUUGAUCCCUUUCCAACACUGUUUUGGAGUGGAUCACAGACCUACAAUACCACCUUAGGUCUUGACUGGUAGGGACCGCCACUGAUGACCCAAUCUGCACCCAUCGUCCAUACCAAACAGGGUAGGCACGGGUAUUGAGGACGUCCUCCAUGUGCAACACAUCCUGACCAAUGAGAGGGAUUCCAAUCAGGGCAAGUCAAACCCAAACAGAAAUAACCUCAAAAUUGACAAUAAAAUCGAGCAAAACCCCAAAACCUAUAACACGCUCUACUGUACUGAACUCUACUCUAUUGUGAUUUACUGUGCUGUACUAUAAUGUCCAAACUUGUGAAACAUAGAGUAGAUGUCUAUUAUUGGUACAGAUUUGGUCCAAUCUGGACCAACCUAAUUUGGUCGUGUUUUGGGCUGCGUAGAAUAAUACCCAAACAUGCAAAGGAGGAUAUUACCUUUGUGUACCUAUUCAGGAUACAACACCAUGAAGAGAAUGACGUUCAUAAUUAUGCAUUUCUGUAUAGUACAGAUCAAGGACUCAUGAUGACAUUCUGUUACUGAGUGUUGAUCCACUUACCGUAGUUCAAUAACCCAAAUAAAUGUUUUUAAACUCACGGUGUCAUAUCAUAGCUGACACCCCAUUCUUUCUGCAGACAUCUUUGAAUCUUAAUUCAGAGUAGAUAUUUAACAGAGUUUUGGGAAAACGUGUUUUGCACUGUUCCUCAAGGGCAGAUGGGGGAGCAUUAGCAUCUCCCUCUGAUUUCAGAGGUUGUAUGUUUGAAACCAGCGAUAGAAACUGUUGUUUUUGAUACUUUUUGUUUUAAGCCUAUCCCGAACCCUUACCUUUGCCAUUCAGAGUUAAUGCCUCUGCAGCCUCUGCAGCGCUUGUGAAAGCUGUUCAGGGGGCUGAAUCUUGUCCUGAUCCACCUGAGGCUGCAGCUGGGGCAGGCAAGAGGAGGAGAUGCCAAUUCUGUCCCCCAAAGAAGGACUGUAAAACAAAUACUAUGUACUGCACAUCUGAGAAAUACAUCUGCAAAGUCCAUGCACACACACUUGCAUACUGUCCUACAUGUGCUAAUUAGAGUUGAUUGGUUUAUGUUCUUCACGUUUUUGUUUUGUAUCUAUUAUCUUAUUUUAUUCUUAUCUAUUGUUGUUGUUUAUACACAUUGUGGGUGGGGGCAAUGGUUAAAAAAUGGGAGAAGACUAGUAUUUUGUAGUUGAAUUUCUCAUUGUACAGUAUAAAAGAAUACAUCACUAUGUUGCCAAAAAGGUUCAAGAC